rnacentral:tRNA from 4 species
UGCGAGAUCGUCUAAUGGUAGGACAGCGGCCUUUGAAGCCGUUAAUUCAGGUCCGAAUCCUGGUCUCGCAG